GGCAGAAGCGGAGCCGCUGUGGCUCUGCUGCGCCACUGCUGCGCCUCGGGUGUCUUUUGCGGCGGUGGGUCGCCGCCGGAAGAAGCCUGAGGGGACAGAUUUGUGACCGGCGCGGUUUUUGUCAGCUUACUCCGGCCAAAAAAGAACUGCACCUCUGGAGCGGACUUAUUUACCAAGCAUUGGAGGAAUAUUGUAGGUAAAAAUGCCUAUUGGAUCCAAAGAGAGGCCAACAUUUUUUGAAAUUUUUAAGACACGCUGCAACAAAAUUUAGGACCAAUAAGUCUUAAUUGGUUUGAAGAACUUUCUUCAGAAGCUCCACCCUAUAAUUCUGAACCUGCAGAAGAAUCUGAACAUAAAAACAACAAUUAUGAACCAAACCUAUUUAAAACUCCACAAAGGAAACCAUCUUAUAAUCAGCUGGCUUCAACUCCAAUAAUAUUCAAAGAGCAAGGGCUGACUCUGCCACUGUACCAAUCUCCUGUAAAAGAAUUAGAUAAAUUCAAAUUAGACUUAGGAAGGAAUGUUCCCAAUAGUAGACAUAAAAGUCUUUGCACAGUGAAAACUAAAAUGGAUCAAGCAGAUGAUGUUUCCUGUCCACUUCUAAAUUCUUGUCUUAGUGAAAGUCCUGUUGUUCUACAAUGCACACAUGUAACACCACAAAGAGAUAAGUCAGUGGUAUGUGGGAGUUUGUUUCAUACACCAAAGUUUGUGAAGGGUCGUCAGACACCAAAACAUAUUUCUGAAAGUCUAGGAGCUGAGGUGGAUCCUGAUAUGUCUUGGUCAAGUUCUUUAGCUACACCACCCACCCUUAGUUCUACUGUGCUCAUAGUCAGAAAUGAAGAAGCAUCUGAAACUGUAUUUCCUCAUGAUACUACUGCUAAUGUGAAAAGCUAUUUUUCUAAUCAUGAUGAAAGUCUGAAGAAAAAUGAUAGAUUUAUAGCUUCUGUGACAGACAGUGAAAACACAAAUCAAAGAGAAGCUACAAGUCAUGGAUUUGGAAAAACAUCAGGGAAUUCAUUUAAAGUAAAUAGCUGCAAAGACCACACUGGAAAGUCAAUGCCAAAUGUCCUAGAGGAUGAAGUAUAUGAAACAGUUGUAGAUACCUCUGAAGAAGAUAGUUUUUCAUUAUGUUUUUCUAAAUGUAGAACAAAAAAUCUACAAAAAGUAAGAACUAGCAAGACUAGGAAAAAAAUUUUCCAUGAAGCAAACGCUGAUGAAUGUGAAAAAUCUAAAAACCAAGUGAAAGAAAAAUACUCAUUUGUAUCUGAAGUGGAACCAAAUGAUACUGAUCCAUUAGAUUCAAAUGUAGCAAAUCAGAAGCCCUUUGAGAGUGGAAGUGACAAAAUCUCCAAGGAAGUUGUACCGUCUUUGGCCUGUGAAUGGUCUCAACUAACCCUUUCAGGUCUAAAUGGAGCCCAGAUGGAGAAAAUACCCCUAUUGCAUAUUUCUUCAUGUGACCAAAAUAUUUCAGAAAAAGACCUAUUAGACACAGAGAACAAAAGAAAGAAAGAUUUUCUUACUUCAGAGAAUUCUUUGCCACGUAUUUCUAGCCUACCAAAAUCAGAGAAGCCAUUAAAUGAGGAAACAGUGGUAAAUAAGAGAGAUGAAGAGCAGCAUCUUGAAUCUCAUACAGACUGCAUUCUUGCAGUAAAGCAGGCAAUAUCUGGAACUUCUCCAGUGGCUUCUUCAUUUCAGGGUAUCAAAAAGUCUAUAUUCAGAAUAAGAGAAUCACCUAAAGAGACUUUCAAUGCAAGUUUUUCAGGUCAUAUGACUGAUCCAAACUUUAAAAAAGAAACUGAAGCCUCUGAAAGUGGACUGGAAAUACAUACUGUUUGCUCACAGAAGGAGGACUCCUUAUGUCCAAAUUUAAUUGAUAAUGGAAGCUGGCCAGCCACCACCACACAGACUUCUGUAGCUUUGAAGAAUGCAGGUUUAAUAUCCACUUUGAAAAAGAAAACAAAUAAGUUUAUUUAUGCUAUACAUGAUGAAACAUCUUAUAAAGGAAAAAAAA
rnacentral:sRNA from 1 species